rnacentral:lncRNA from 1 species
CUUGCUUUAAAUGCUAUCAUUCUGUGAAAGGGGACACUGAAUCAUUGGACAACAACUGUGAAUAUUCAGGACCUGAAAUGCCUAUUUCGAAGAGGAUCAAGCAGAGGAUGUAGGACACCACAAAAAGGCUCAGGGGAAGUUUAUAGAAAAGAGAAGACCAAGGACAAUAGAAUUAUGUCAGUCUGUCAAGGUGAAAAGAAUACAUGGUUCUCCAGGUCAGUUGUUAAAAACUUCCCUGGCAUGUCUAAUGGCUUCCAAAAUGAAGAGCACUUGGUGGUUUCUGGCUAAAGGUAAGUGGUCUCUUCAGUAAGUAGAGCUCUGGAAAAGUUAGAACAGAAAUGAAUGGUGCUAGUUCUCCAUUGUUGUUUUUGAUGUAGUUUGGGAGAGUUACAUUUCUAUCCAUGUGGUCUUUCUAAGCCAGGUGGGAGCAAACCAACAAAACAGUUUUGCCUUUUGAAGAAACUGUCUGAUUGAAGCAUCAAAAAAAUAACAUGAAACUUUUUACUGUUCUUGGCAGGCCCACAAAGAAUGGUAUUUGGAGGCCAUCAGCCAAACGCAUACUGUGAGGAAUUAUCCAUGCUGAAAUAUAUUAGUGAUUUGUCCUAAUUUUCUAAAUAAAGAAAAUAUGUCACC